AUGCGAGGCCGAGCCAAAGCCUGUCGCACCUGUGUCUGAACAGGAGCAUCCUGGUGAGGAGAUGACAAAAAGAUGGCGCUAACACACACGCUGAAGUUUCCCUGCCCCUCUGAACUGACCCAAGACAUCAUCACAUCCAGCCACUGCUUUCAGUCCCUCCACUACCUGCCCGUAGCCCCCAGAGCUUAAACACCACCAGCCCCAGCAUGCAGGAAUUACACAGUAUCAUCAGCACACAUGGGACGG